UUUUUUUUUAUUAUUAUUAUUCCCGAAUGGAUUCGUCUCUUCCGUUCAGGAUUUUAGAAAGAUCGCUCGGGUCCGGACCCCGCGCGUCCCGUGAGCAAAGAGAGGAAAAGGCUGCGCAGGACGCACCGAGGGAUCGGAGCUCUUCCUUCGCCCGUCCGCUGCCCCCUCCCGACCCCCCCAUCCGCGAGGAGGGGGGGGGGGCACGGCCUCCUGGGAAGCAUGUCCCCCCACGGAUCACUGCUCCCCUGUAGGGAAGCGGGACCGCUGCCCCGUGGGAUCACGCUGGGAUGUAGGGGCACAAGGCCACCCCGAUGGGAAGCGGCCGCUCUGCAGCUUCGUGUUUUCUCUGCUGUUCUUCCCAAGGACAGUUGUUCCACAAAGCCCCACAGCUCCCGUGCCGUGGAUUGCCGUGUUCUUGAUUGUUUUCCUCGCUCUCUGUCGUUGCUGUUUGUAGAGGCUUUGAAGAGCGAGGCGGAGGGGACAAGCCUUCCUCAGUAAACUUGCCUUCCCCCUAAGGCAGCUGCAGCCCAGAGAAGCAGGCCCAGCGCCGCAGCUCAGCCUGGGACCGGCGCUGUUUACAAUCCAUCAUUGUUGGUUAAUUGCCGUUUGGUUAAAUAUUUACUUUGGAUUAAGUUCUUUUGUGCUCUUUUCUCACCAAAUAAUAAACAGGGGUGUCUUUG